UUUCUGUAGGUGAACUUGCGGAAGGAUCAUUACUAGGUUCGCGCCCCUUAGGGCCGUUCUCCCACCCCUGUCUACCAUACCUCUGUUGCUUUGGCGGGCCGCCCUCGCGGCUGCCGGCCCCUAGCCGGCGCGUGCCUGCCAAAGGCCCCAAACCCUGUGUUAGUGGUCUCGUCUGAGUGGAACCCGAAUAGUUA
rnacentral:misc_RNA from 1 species